CCUACGGGCGGCAGCAGUGAGGAAUAUUGGUCAAUGGGCGGAAGCCUGAACCAGCCAAGUCGCGUGAGGGAUGAAGGCACUGCGGGUCGUAAACUUCUUUUGCCGGGGAGAAGUGGUCCGGACGCGUCUGCACCGGGAGAGUACCCGGAGAAAAAGCAUCGGCUAACUCCGUCCCAGCAGCCGCGGUAAUACGGGGGAUGCGAGCGUUAUCCGGAUUUGUGGGGUUUAAAGGGUGCGUAGGCGGGCAUUUAGGCCGGCGGUCAAGUGUCGGGGCUAAACCCCGGCCUGCCGUCGGAACUGGGUGCCUUGAGUGGGCGAGAGGUAUGCGGAAUGCGUGGUGUAGCGGUGAAAGGCAUAGAUAUCACGCAGAACCCCGAUUGCGAAGGCAGCAUACCGGCGCCCUACUGACGCUGAGGCACGAAAGUGCGGGUAUCGAACAGGAUUAGAUACCCUAGUAGUC
rnacentral:rRNA from 1 species